rnacentral:rRNA from 1 species
AUUGAACGCUGGCGGCAGGCCUAACACAUGCAAGUCGAGCGAGCGGCGGACGGGUGAGUAAUGUCUGGGGAACUGCCUGAUGGAGGGGGAUAACUACUGGAAACGGUAGCUAAUACCGCAUACCAUCGGAUGUACCCAUAUGGGAUUAGCUAGUAGGUGGGGUAAUGGCUCACCUAGGCGACGAUCCCUAGCUGGUCUGAGAGGAUGAUCAGACACACUGGAACUGAGACACGGCCCAGACGCCUACGGGAGGCAGCAGUGGGGAAUAUUGCACAAUGGGCGCAAGCCUGAUGCAGCCAUGCCGCGUGUAUGAAGAAGGCCCUAGGGUUGUAAAGUACUUUCAGUGGGGAGGCGUUACCGGCAGAAGAAGCACCGGCUAACUCCGUGCCAGCAGCCGCGGUAAUUC